rnacentral:rRNA from 1 species
AAUGAACGCUGGCGGCGUGCUUAACACAUGCAAGUCGAGCGGGGUGAUGGUGCUUGCACUAUCACUUAGCGGCGGACGGGUGAGUAAUGCUUAGGAAUCUGCCUAUUAGUGGGGGACAACAUCUCGAAAGGGAUGCUAAUACCGCAUACGUACUACGGGAGAAAGCAGGGGAUCACUUGUGACCUUGCGCUAAUAGAUGAGCCUAAGUCGGAUUAGCUAGUUGGUGGGGUAAAGGCCUACCCAGGCGACGAUCGGUAGCGGGUCUGAGGGGAUGAUCCGCCACACUGGGGCUGAGACACGGCCCAGACUCCUACGGGAGGCAGCAGUGGGGAAUAUUGGACAAUGGGGGGAACCCUGAUCCAGCCAUGCCGCGUGUGUGAAGAAGGCCUUAUGGUUGUAAAGCACUUUAAGCGAGGAGGAGGCUCUUUUGGUUAAUACCCAAGAUGAGUGGACGUUACUCGCAGAAUAAGCACCGGCUAACUCUGUGCCAGCAGCCGCCGUAAAAC